UACAGAGGUCCCAAGCGUUGUUCGGAUUCACUGGGCGUAAAGGGUGCGUAGGCGGUCGGGUAAGUCUGAUGUGAAAUCUCACAGCUUAACUGUGAAACUGCAUUGGAUACUAUUCGGCUUGAGAGUUGGAGGGGGGACUGGAAUUCUUGGUGUAGCAGUGAAAUGCGUAGAUAUCAAGAGGAACACCAGUGGCGAAGGCGGCAUUCUGGACCAUAACUGACACUGAGAGACGAAAGCCAGGGGAGCAAACGGG
rnacentral:rRNA from 1 species